CGCAACUUGCGCCCUCUGGUAUUCCGGAGGGCAUGCCUGUUUGAGUGUCAUGUAGCCUCAAUCCCCCGGGUUUCUGGGAAGAUUGGAUUUGGGUGUUUGCCGUGCACAGGGCUCGCCUUAAAUGAAUUAGUGGACGAUUGAUUGUAAUCGAGAGUAAUAAGUUUCUCUUGAUGAUUUCGAUUCAACUGCUUAUAACCCACACUAUUUAUGACUCUGACCUCAAAUCAGGUAGGACUACCCGCUGAACUUAA
rnacentral:misc_RNA from 1 species